rnacentral:rRNA from 1 species
UACGAAGGGGGGCUAGCGUUGCUCGGAAUCACUGGGCGUAAAGCGCACGUAGGCGGCUUUCUAAGUCAGGGGUGAAAUCCUGGAGCUCAACUCCAGAACUGCCUUUGAUACUGGAGAGCUUGAGUCCGGAAGAGGUGAGUGGAACUCCGAGUGUAGAGGUGAAAUUCGUAGAUAUUACGGAAGAACACCAGUGGCGAAGGCGGCUCACUGGUCCGGGUACUGACGCUGAGGUGCGAAAGCGUGGGGAGCAAACAGG